UCCAUCUCCAGGGUCUCCCACAAAGAGGUCGCUUCCUGCAGGGUCAAGGACAAGGUCAGUUAGGCCAUGCUCCCUUCGGCAUGUGUCCCAGGCCCUUGAUCUUGGACCCUGGACAUCUCGUGUGUGUGGCUGCUC